UCGAAGUUUCAAUUUUGGGCCUGGGAUGGGAGCUAGAAUGGGGGAUCAUGGCUCUACCGGAUUCAAUAUUCGGAUGCUGAUUCAGUUGUUACCGGUUCUGGUAAUUCUUUUGUUGAACUUUUUACCGUCCUCUGAGCCUGUUUAUUCACUGUCCAGGUCGUAUCCUUAUGAGUACAAGUUCAUAACACAGAAGGGUGUGAAUUAUUAUGUGAGGUCAACGAAAUUUGAGCAAGAUUAUCCACUUAAUAGUCCUGAGCGUAUAAAGAUCGAGGAGCGUGUUGAGAGAGAUUAUUAUUCAGUUUUGGCCCAGAAUUGUAGGUUUGAGCUGCAGCGGCAGCAGUGGGGGUUUAUUCGUGAGACGCCACAUUGUGAUUUGUUGCAGAAGUUUCAGUCGGCAGCUUAAUGGCUUCCAUUAAGGUCUUUUCCGUGUUCCUGUAUUUUUUUUCCUUUUAGGCUAGUAGUAUUCUUUUAGUUUUAAGGGUUUAAAGGAUGUGUGGUUGUUUGCUUGUUUGGAUAUUAGUUUAAGUGCAACAAUUGUGACCUUAGGCAUGCAUCGUCCAUGGAUAUUGAUUUAACUAAAGAAUAAUAAAGUGAUUCUGAUAGUGUCUAUUUGCUAUAAAAAUGUAGAUAUUGAAGCAUCUGGGUUUAUAUAGUUUGAUACUUUGGUACUUAGUCAUGCAUAUUGAUAUUGGUCUUCUAAAGUAACCUUAUUGAUAACAAGAGUAUAUGUUGUUAACUUUCAUGAUGGUAAAAAUGUAAAUGUGGUUCGGUUAGAGUUGAAGCAAUUUCUGUUCUGUUUCUAAAAUCUGCACAAGUUCUUUCAAACUUCCUUCUGCUGCACAGUGAAAAUAGGGCAUUCUUCUUUCUUAAGGCAGUUUUUUACAGCACUACAUGCUACGUAUGCUUUAGAAUCAUGUUUGUUGGUACUGGGGGUGAGUAUUAGGACUUUUCCAACCAUUGGAAAUAAUGCCUCAUCUUUUCAUUUUGUUGCAAAGCUAGCCUUCUGUUUACCCUAGUUAAGAAAAGGGAAAAGAAGAAGAAAAAGGUAGAGAAAACUAAUACAUAUAAAAUAAACUACUUACCCCAAGAACUUGAGUCAAGCUGACUGAUUCGAUCUCGGAACAAAAACAGCCUAAGACAUACAUUAAGCAGUAGGAAACAUAUUCACAGCUAAUACCGACCUAUCAAUGAAACUCCUUAUCUUGUGUGUCCCUAAUCAAGCCUGCACCCUGCUUUAUUUUUCCUUAAAAGAACUCUUGAUUGAUGCUGCUCCAUUCCGACCAAACUGCAAUGAACAGAUGAUAUAUGAACCCAAGACUUAUUACCUUGCUCUGAUUUUUGACAAAUUAAGGAAAGCUAUGACUCUUUGUAAUAUCAGUACCUGGCAUUCUUAUAAUCAUUGGCACUAAGAGAGCUUCUCCUAUGGAUGUCAAACGAGCAGAAACUUUUAUGUUAACAAUACUUACAUAUAAGCCUAUGAAAUUUUUUUUUUUUGAAGGGCCAUAUAAAUUAUGAUUUAAUGUACCACAGACAAAUCAAUUCUUAUUUAACUGCAUGGUUAUCUAUAGGACUCAAACUAUGUUACUCAAACAUGACAACAAGUUGGCCUUUUGCAAACUUUCAAAUUUGAAAUAUCAACAAGUGCAUUUUUUUAUUUGAAACGCAUGGAUUGUUACACUAUCUACAAAGAUGGAACUUAGCUGUUGUGGCUGCAUGAUCCUAUGGUAUGCUCCUGGAGCAAUUUGUGUAUGGACCUCCUCUGCUUUUGGCAUAUCUAAUCUCUUGAUUAGUUUUGUUUGACUUUAGAACUAGGCUGUUGUUUCAUCAUGCAACACCAAUAUGGCAUUAUUUGUCCAUUGGUUGCAUACUGAUUUUUUUAUUUCAUUUGGUCCCAUUAAAUAAGAAUCUUUACUGUCUUAGCCACAAUGUUGAGCAUCAUUGCUUCUCAAAAGAAAAAAAAUUUUGAGUGUCAUUAGUUACCUAGUUGAUACCCAUCCAGUGUCAAUUUCUGGAGUAGGUGAGGUAGAAUUAUUCUUUUUGGGUUAGCCUAAUGAAGGAUGCGGAUAUCAUCCGCAAGAGGGCAGAUAUAUGUAUAACAUAUUUAUCAAUCAUCUGGAGAUAAGAUCAAUACCUGUUGUCAAUGCAUGCACUGGUGUGCAUGUUUGAUGCUAAUGAAAGUGGUGACAGGGAUAACUUUUCCUUCAUCUUAAUAUUAGCUAACAAUGUACAUUUGCGAUGCAGGUGGGACACUAAACUAAAAGGACCACACUUUUCACCUUUCACUCUCUGCUUGUUGUGCUACUCAAAGACCGGCAACUGCACUGUGUAUUGGAUAAUACUCAUGGCAAAAUCUUUUUCAAUUUUAUAGUUAAGGUUCAUUGAUCCUGUAUCUAGAGUUCUCAGGCUUGCUAGUACAGCAUUAAGACCACAUACUAAAUUUUUCGGGGUAUUGUUUAACGUGAGAUGCUAUAUACCGAGAGUGAUGUAUGUCCAGAGUAUUGUCUGGACUGUUAUAGGAUACGCACCAAGCAUUUUGAUGUUAAUGAAGUUAUUUCCCCUAUCCAAAAAAUUAAAGAAAGGUAAAUGCAGUCUUUGUUUUGAAAAGUUAGCAUAUCUUAAGGUCAUCUAUCUUCAAAUUUUGUAUUCUACCAUUAAAUGUUAAUCUUGGUUGUAGCCGUGCCUUGAUGAGAACGAGCAUUGGAUUGUAUCCAGUAGCAUUUGUAGUUUCUGAUAUUCUGUUAGCACAAAGUUUUCAGAGGUUUGGUGAAUGCUGUCAUGAUGUUUCAAGCGAGUCGAGGGUCUCUAUAAUUCCCCCUCGCUCCUAGCAAAUGCUGGGCAUGUAUGAUAAUAUGCAAUCGAAAGACAUCCUAAUCCUAUUAUGACGGCAACAUCAGGCUAGAAAAGGACAUCCUAAUCCUUUUAUGACGGCAACAUCAGGCUAGAAAAGUUUGUGGUGGAUGUAGGCCUCGUGUGUCAUGACCAGGGAUAUCAAUGGCAUCAUGGUUAGAGUUUGUGAAACCCACAGCAAACUCUGUUUUAAUCAUAGACCACAUUUGGCCAACAAAGAAUCCACUUACACAUUGUGAGAGAAGAGAAAUGGAUGUUGAAGUUCCUGUUAUGUAUUAACCAACCCUUACAAGAAUAGGCUUUUCAGUCAAGCAGUAGAGGAAUCCACGAGGGGUUCAGAGUUGGAUUCAUUUGAAAUAUACCAGGCUUAAAAUAUUUAUAUGAAAAUCAAUUCUAUACAAAUACUACUAAUUCACUUGUGGAUACUCCGCAAUAUUUUUAUUCAAGAACCAAAAGAGUGCAUGUCAGAGUGGUCUGUUCACCGGGCUGCACACAACACAAUCUAGAGAAAUGAAAUCAUAACAAUUUUCUUUUUUGAGUAAAUAAAUUCCAUAGACUGCAUCAGCCUCGCAACAGUUGUAGCUUCUCGUCAUGACAUUUUAUGCUUGUAGCAUCAUUUCGUGUACCUCUGUAAAACAAAAUUUCCACACUAAAGAUUAAAGUGCUUAAUAAUAGGCCAUCCUACAACCUCUGGUUUAGCUCUUCUUCUUCUUUCGUUUCCUCGGGGAAGGGUGAUUAGAAUCAGGUGGUAGUUGCAUGCUUGCAGCUAUGAGAUUUUGAUUCAGACAAGAAUGUUUAAUCUAUUUUCUUACUGGAAGAUAAUGAUCACUCAACUUCUAUGUUGCAUCAAAGGAUGCUGGAGUUCAUUGCAGCUAUAUCCUUUUAUAAAUUAGUCGGACUAAAAUGCCAUCUUCAAUCUUACAUUUCAGAAAAUGGUGUCUGCAAUCAUAUGGAUGCAGCUAAUUCCCCGCAAGAUAUAAUCAUUCACAUAUAUCAGUCCUGUCCGAUGUGCUUGAUCUUGUUCAGGUAGCUGUUGUUUGAGGCCAUUGUCCGGAGUUAAUCAUUCUUCGUUGGUUUCUGAUCCACAGUCAACAAAUUAAGGGAAUGAUUCACCCUGAAAUUAGAAAAGAAGGGGAAAAUUAAGUGCAAGAUACCAAAAGACGUAAAAAUAUAUUGGUAAAUGGAAUUAAUGUCCUCUUGCAUCAAGAGAAAGAAAAGAAAGUGAGUAAAGGAAAUAGACCAUGGCUAAUUAUAGCCAGGGAAAGAUAUUGUCCAGCCUGAAUAAGCCUGAUGGGAGUCAAUGGCGUCUCCAAUCUCCUCUAUAUGGUUUUGGCAGUUAUGUAGACAGUGUCUUUGGCUUAUUCUUAAGACUAAAAACGGAUCAACUGCUUAGUGCUCACAUACUUGAGUUGGGUGAGUGAAAAGUGACGUGUAGAGAGCUGAAUUGAGAAGCUGUAGUUAGUGACACAUUCUCAUAGAUCACAUCGAAACAGAAGAUUAUUUUGGAGUGACGGAAGGGCCUAGGAAAUAAACCUUUGUAAUUGUAUCCAAGGCCGGCUUCCAUGCAUCAUGAGUUAUGAUAAUUAAUAUUUGGAAAGCUGAUUUUUCUUUCAAGGAGAUGCCUUUUGCCACUUUCAGAUUUCUCAGUUUCAGCAUUUGCGUGCUCAUCCAGUCGCUUCUAGCGCUGUUAAUUCUGAUUUUGUUGUUGAACAUUUUGCCAUCGUCUCAGCAUCUUUACUCGCUGUCCAGGUCGUACCCUUACGAGUACAAAAUGAAAACCCAGAAGGGCGUGAGUUAUUAUGUUGAGUCAACAAAAUUUGAGCAGAAAUAUCCUGCUAAUAAUCCUGAUCGUGUGAGGUUUGAAGAUCGUGUAAACUUUUUCCCGUCCUCUGAGCCUGUUUAUUCAGUGUCCAGGUCGUAUCCUUAUGAGUACAAGUUCACAACACAGAAGGGUGUGAAUUAUUAUGUGAGGUCAACGAAAUUUGAGCAAGAUUAUCC
rnacentral:lncRNA from 1 species